rnacentral:rRNA from 1 species
CCUGCCUCUGCUUGCUCUCUUUCUCUCUCACACAUGGGAGGAAAGAGGCGAGCUUAAGCCCAGGUGUGGGUAACAGAGGCUGGCCAGGCAAAAGUAUACUAAUAAUAAUAAUAAUAGUAGUAAUGAGAAUGUGGUGGCCACCCCACCUGUGACCUCGUGAGUGGAGAGACCUACCCGCCAAAUUUAAGCAUAUUAAUAAGCGGAGGAAAAGAAACCAACAGGGAUUCCCUUAGUAAGGGCGACUGAACCGGGAAGAGCCCAGCGCAUAACCUCGUGUCCUAACCCGGCACGAGGGGUGUUGCGUUUCGGAGGGUCCAGCACGCCGUGCCAUACCGCCUAAGUUAGAGCAUGAAUGCAGCCCACUGCCCAUGGAGGGUGUCAGGCCCGUGUGGCGGCGCCCGCGAGGGUAAAGAUGGCACGGUCGGAAAGGGCCUCUCCGUAGAGUCGGGUUGCUUGAUAGUGCAGCCCAAAGCAGGUGGUAAACUCCAUCUAAGGCUAAAUAUGACCACGAGACCGAUAGCGAACAAGUACCGUGAGGGAAAGUUGAAAAGAACUUUGAAGAGAGAGUUCAAGAGUACGUGAAACCGUUAAGAGCCAAACGGAUGGAACCUUGAAGGUCGAACCGAGGGAUUCAGGCGGCCGACCUCGGCUGGGUGCGGGUCUCUCUGUCUGUCCGCCGAUUCAGUCGGAAGCAGCGACCCACGAAUGCUUGGGCGUGCCUGCACCCACGCUGGCGUCGGCCGGCGAUAUUCCCUCGUUGUAGGGCGCCGCGACCCGUUGCUGGGGACGUCGAAGGCCCGGACGGACUGGUAGCCUUGAGUCUUCUUCCUUCUCCUUUUCUCCUUCUUCCGCUUGCCUACCGGCAGCGGCGGGUGAGGAGAAUACACGGGAGGAGGAGGAGUAGGAGGAUUGGCGAAACCGCCGGUGAUCCUGGCGGUCCUGCGACGGUCGCAAAGACGAGCCAGCCCGUGCAAGCGGGCUGUCUCUCGCGGCGUGCAAAGAGAUCGGUGAACCAUCCGACCCGUCUUGAAACACGGACCAAGGAGUCUAACAUGUGUGCGAGUCAGUGGGCGCACUAAACCCAAAGGCGUAAUGAAAGUGACAGGCCUGGCGUGUGCACCUUUCAGUGGUGCAUGGGCUGGAGCCGGGGCCGAUCCCCUCGCCGGGUGCUGACUCUGCUGCCUCCACCUACCAUCCGGCCCCAAGACGGGUAAGCACUGGUCGAGUUUUCCCUUUGCCCCUGUCGACAAGGUGGUGCGGCUUAAGGAGGGUGCUGGCUGCAGGGAAUGCGAUGGCGUGAAAUAUCCUCCAGCCUGCAUGUAUGUAUGUUGUGCAGGAAGGGAAGGGGCGCAGGCCCGGGACUUGCUGUGAUGUCGCCCUCGUCACCGCCGUCGCCGUCGUCGCGAGACGUGCGUGCGAGUGUGUGUGUGGCGGCAGGCAGGGAGCAGCAAGUACCAAGAGCAGACAUGUUGGGACCCGAAAGAUGGUGAACUAUGCCUGGCCAGGAUGAAGCCAGAGGAAACUCUGGUGGAGGUCCGUAGCGAUUCUGACGUGCAAAUCGAUCGUCUGAGCUGGGCAUAGGGGCGAAAGACUAAUCGAAUCAUCUAGUAGCUGGUUCCCUCUGAAGUUUCCCUCAGGAUAGCUGGAAAUCUCAGGAUUAAUUUCAUCCGGUAAAGCGAAUGAUUAGAGGUGUUGGGGACGAAACGUCCUCAACCUAUUCUCAAACUUUAAAUGGGUGAGAUGCCGAGCUUGCUUGAAGAAUAAUGAAGCUCUGGCAACUAAUAUGAGUACCUAGUGGGCCAUUUUUGGUAAGCAGAACUGGCGCUGUGGGAUGAACCAAACGUCGAGUUAAGGGGCCUAAACGAAUGCUCAUUCGGAUCCCACCGAAAGGCGUUGGUUGCUAUAGACAGCAGGACGGUGGCCAUGGAAGUUGGAAUCCGCUAAGGAGUGUGUAACAACUCACCUGCCGAAGCAACUAGCCCUUAAAAUGGCAUGGCGCUCAAGCAUUCUCCCGAUACUCGACCGCCGGGGCACUAGCGGCCACGCUCUGUCUCAGAGGCGAGGAGGUCUCGAAGCCCCGGCGAGUAAGAGGGUCGCGGUGGUGAGCGUUGAAGGGUUUCGGCGUGGGCCGGCCUGGAGCCGCCACCGGUGCAGAUCUUGGUGGUAGUAGCAAAUACUCGAGAGAGGAGCCCUUGAAGGCCGAAGCGGAGCAGGGUUCCAUGUGAACAUCAGUUGGACAUGGGUUAGUCGCUCCUAAGCCCAAGGCUAAGGCCUGAUCCCACGCCAGUGGCAAAGACAUGAAGGCUGGCAGCAGCUGCAGCAGCAGCAGCAGCAGCAGAACGGCUGGAUCCGUUUGUUGUUGCUGCUCUCCGCAGCUGCAGAUGAAGAAGAAGAAGAAGCAUUCGGCGAAAGGCAUAGAAAUGAUUAUUAAAUGCCUCCUCGCUACAGGCUUGACAAGGCCGCCAGUUGCUUCGGGAUCAGUGGCGAAAGGGAAUACGGU